GACGAACGCUGGCGGCGUGCUUAACACAUGCAAGUCGAACGGAAAGGCCCUGCUUGCCGGGUACUCGAGUGGCGAACGGGUGAGUAACACGUGGGUGAUCUGCCCUACACUUCGGGAUAAGCCUGGGAAACUGGGUCUAAUACCGGAUAGGAGCCAUUUUUAGUGUGAUGGUUGGAAAGUUUUUUCGGUGUAGGAUGAGCUCGCGGCCUAUCAGCUUGUUGGUGGGGUAAUGGCCUACCAAGGCGGCGACGGGUAGCCGGCCUGAGAGGGUGGACGGCCACAUUGGGACUGAGAUACGGCCCAGACUCCUACGGGAGGCAGCAGUGGGGAAUAUUGCACAAUGGGCGCAAGCCUGAUGCAGCGACGCCGCGUGGGGGAUGACGGCCUUCGGGUUGUAAACGCCUUUCGCUAGGGACGAAGCUUUUUGUGACGGUACCUAGAUAAGAAGCACCGGCUAACUACGUG
rnacentral:rRNA from 1 species